GUGGUGGCUCAGUGGUAAAGCACUUGCCUAGCACAUGAGAGGCUCUGGAUUCGAUCCUCAGCAACACA
rnacentral:tRNA from 1 species